AGUUGUUUCAGAGCUUAGAGACAGAUCUAGAAAUCCCAAUGAUUUAGAGUUGAGUAGAAGUGAAAAAAAUGAGAACAAGUGAACAACAAUAGGAACAGGCCAUUAAAGAUGAUGUUGGAACUGUUCGAAUUCAGCAACUAGACAAAGGACCAUUUUAUGGAUCACCAACUUAUCUUGAAUCUUGGGAAAUGGUCCAGAACAAGGCCCAGCUUGUUGUCAUUGCUCAUGAUGUGGAUCCAAUUGAGCUUCUGUGCAGGAAGAUGGAGUUCCCUUACUACAUUGUUAAAAGGAAAGGCUCUCCUUGGAUCGAUUGUUCACAAGAAGACCGCAUCCGUGAUGUGCCUUACCACUGUCAAGAAUGAGACAAGCUCGAGUUUAGCAAGAUCUUGGAGGCAAUUAAGAUAGGAAAGAAUGGCAUAUUGUGAUCUGAUUGGUAUCACGUGGUUAUGAUCCCUCUUAAAAUGACUCGAAUUGUACUCCAGGCAAACCAUCUUGACUGUUUAUUUACACACUAUAAUGCUGGAUAGACACUUUUGAUGGAUAGUGUACCCACGCUGCUCAAAUGUUAGCAUAUUAACCAUGUAUUUAUUAUCAUAUGAUGUGAUUUUGUGUUGAAAUUA